AAUUUUCGAGGAUGGGGUAAUUGAGUAGUUUCGUUUCCUCAGUUUACAGGUGAUUGACAUGCUCAAUAAAUUAACCCUAGACAACAAGUUCAUUAACAAAAUCUAAGUACCACCGCAACAGAAACUCUCAAGUUAAACUAGUCCCAGACUCAAUCACCAUUGACGAGAGCUAACCUAACAGGCAUUACGAAUCACUAAGUUAAAGCCAAAACGCUCCCUGCAACAAAUACCUUGGUACAGGGUCACGAAUCUCUCGAAUUAGUGGUUCAGACAUUUCAUCGAACACCUUUUGGGCGCAGAAAUGUCUGGGCUCAAAUUCCAGUUGAUCAGAAAGCAAUAGGCAUUAAGACCAACUAAUCCAGAAGGGAUCUAUCAACCAAUACUCAAUCACCUAGCAUACUGAGAAUUCUACACUACUCUAACCCAUCCUCAGAAACCUAUUCACUACUCAGACAUCAUAACAGAAAGCAUAAACGUUGAACAGGUUGAAGACAUGAUAACAGCAGUGUAACAGCAGGAUGAUAACAGAAUGAACUACAGUAAACGAAAAUCAAGAACAAAAGCUGAAUACUGAAUACUGAAUAGAUAAAGAGAAAUCAAGAUUACAAAAGGUCUAGAACACAAGGUCUGCAGAAUAAAACUAGAUAAAAACUUCUUGUCUCCGAAAAUGUGAAGUACAUGCUACUUAUAGCCAAAUAUUCCGAAAUCCUAAUACUCAAAACGACGAAGUAUCGGGAUGGAUUAAGAACUGUACUCGACCCAUGUCGUCAAGUGGGAGGUCGAGUGAAUAGCUGGAGUCUUCUUUUCUUCCUUGUGCUCGAGUAUCUGGUUGAGUGUUGAGUGCAGAAUGAAGAAGACUCUGAAGCUUGCAAUCGAGUAUGUAGUCGAGAGGUGGUAAUGGUGAUAUUCGACUUCAAGGUUGAGUGGUGUGGUCGAGAAGUGGUCUGGUAAUGGAGGUGAAGACACUCGACCUCGUGGUCGAGUCAUGUGAUCGAGUGGUGGUCAGAAGAUGGAGAUGAAGUCACUCGACCUGGGGGUCGAGUGAUGUGAUCGAGUGGUGGUCAGAAGAUGGAGAUGAAGUCACUCGAUCUGGGGGUCAAGUGAUGUGAUCGAGUGGUGGUGUCUUCUACUCGACCUGGGGGUCGAGUGGUCUCUUGAGAUCUUGAAGCUCCUACUCGACCUCAGGGUCGAGUGGUUUGUCAUGAUCAGGUCCGCUUCUUCCAGUAGCUCGUCGACAGCUCCAAAUCACCUGAAAACAACACAAAUAUGCAACAUGCAUGCAAAACUAUCCUAACCAUGCAAAGUGAUGAUAAAUGAUGUGAAAUGGUAUAAAACAGUGAUGAUAUGAUGCUAAAAUGAUGAAAAAUGGAUGCUCAAAACAUGCAAAAUACACACUUAUCACACUCGACCCCGAUGUCGAGUGUCUUCAUCUCCAUCAUCUGACCACCACUCGAUCACCUCACUCGACCCCAAGGUCGAGUGUUUUCAUCUCUAUCACCAGAUCACCACUCGAUCACACCACUCUACUUGGAAGUCGAGUAUCACCAUCACCACCACUCGACUACAUACUCGAUGGCAAGCUUUAGAGUCUUCUUCAUUCCGCACUCAACCAGACACUCGAGCAUAAGGAAGAAAAGAAGACUCCAGCUAUUCACUCGACCUCCCACUUGACCACCUGGGUCGAGUACAAUUCUUAAUCCGUCCCAAUACUGCGUCGUUUUAAGUAUUAGGGUUUCAGAAAUAUUUCGCUAUAAGUAGCAUGCACUUUACAUUUUCGAGAA
rnacentral:sRNA from 1 species